UACAGGGGGGGCAAGCGUUGUUCGGAAUUACUGGGCGUAAAGGGCUCGUAGGCGGCCAACUAAGUCACACGUGAAAUCCCCAGGCUUAACCUGGGAACUGCGUGUGAUACUGGAUGGCUUGAAUCCGGGAGAGGGAUGCGGAAUUCCAGGUGUAGCGGUGAAAUGCGUAGAUAUCUGGAGGAACAUCUGUGGCGAAGGCGGCCAUCUGGACCAGCACUGACACUGAGGCACGAAAGCGUGGGGAGCAAACAGG
rnacentral:rRNA from 1 species